UGGGGAAUUUUGCACAAUGGGGGAAACCCUGAUGCAGCGACGCCGCGUGAUUUAGAAGGCCUUCGGGUUGUAAAAAUCUUUUCUAUGGGAAGAAAAUGACAGUACCAUAGGAAUAAGGACUGGCUAAUUACGUGCCAGCAGCCGCGGUAAUACGGAAGGUCCAGGCGUUAUCCGGAUUUAUUGGGUUUAAAGGGAGUGUAGGCGGUUGGUUAAGCGUGUUGUGAAAUGUAGAUGCUCAACAUCUGACUUGCAGCGCGAACUGGCUGACUUGAGUACACACAACGUAGGCGGAAUUCAUGGUGUAGCGGUGAAAUGCUUAGAUAUCAUGAAGAACUCCGAUUGCGAAGGCAGCUUACGGGAGCGCAACUGACGCUGAAGCUCGAAGGUGCGGGUAUCGAACAGG
rnacentral:rRNA from 1 species